rnacentral:lncRNA from 1 species
UUUUUAGACAGGCUUGCGAGCUCGCAUUGAAGAUUUUCUCUCUUUCUUCCUCUCGCACACUGUGAGCUGUGCUGGACUGAGCUCAGCUUCCAGCAGGGUCAGGGAGCGGAGGACAUCCACAAGCUCGCACGCCAAAACCACUCAGCGGUUGUAAAAGCACCGAGAACAUCGGCUCCAGCGCUGCACGGGGCGGGAGCGGCUCUUUGUGUCCUCAGCUCGCUGUGUCCUCGCUGCUCCUGCAGCCUGUCCCCGACCCGGUCCCAGUGCUCUGCUCUUCGGCCUCGGUGCUCUCAGGAUUGAGCCCUCCCUGCCAGGAGAGCCGCGGGCACUGCCCCCUCCCCGCGCCUGGGGCACACCUCAGCCUGCUCAGGGGUUAACCUCGGUCCCCAGAGCCGCGUAGGCAAAUUAGCACCGUGUUUUCCCCGAGCUAAUUAACUUCCCUGGCAGCAGGGCUAAUUAUCUCCUGCACAGCGCUGGCUGCAGCAGCCGCCGGCCCCCAGGCGAGGGGGGACGCAGCUCCUGGGAGCCCACCCCCUGUCAUCCCCAUGUCACCCUGUCCAUGUGCACGUGAGGACGCUGCUCGGGGCCAGGCUGCUUGGAGGUUUGCCAUGGAUUUCAGCAGCUGCUGCCAACCGCGUCUAAUCGCCGCUGUCAGCAGCGGGAGCAGAAUGCCUGCGAAUGGGAAAGUGCACGGGCGCUGGGUAAAGGAGGAACGCGCUCGCAGAGAAAAUAAGCACUGAAAACAUACGCAUCAAAUACAUCGCAGGGUCGCGGGUGAGUACUGGGUAAUAAAACGCUGUCAGGGGGCA